rnacentral:misc_RNA from 1 species
UUAACAUUCCGAACAGCAAACGCACACUUUGUUUCCGAAACUUUUAUUGAUAUAAUAUUAAAAAAUCUAAUUCAAAAUAAACAGUAUCAAUAAAUAUAAUCACAUAUAUUCGAUUCAAGUAUUUAUGAUGAGCUACAGUGUAUAGUGAGACCUGGGAUAUGAAUUGAAAAGCUUCGAUAUGGAUAACAUUGUUCACUUUGAGUGGGUUGAACCUGAACAUGACCACUACUUCCUGAGAGCACAAGACUUAGAAAACUGUGUGACGGAGAGGAUAUUAAGAAACACAUUCCAUGAUCCAUUGAUUUCCAGCAGUGAUAGUGAAGAACCGAAUAUUAUCAAUUGGGAUGAUGUUUUUAGAAAGAAACUUAAUGCAAAUAAAAACCACCGUAUCUUUGUUCCUGGCUGCAAGCCUGUUCCAAAGUACCCCAAGCUAUCAUCACUCACUGCGUUAGAACACACGCAGUGCCUCAAAGUGCUGUGCAUCAGGAAUCCACACAUACUGCCCCUAAAGCAGCUACCGAGACCUGGCAAAAUGGAUUAUAAAGUUUUUGAGGAAAUCAAAAAAGAAUAUGAAGCAGAACAAAAAGAAUAUCAAGCCUGGGCAAAAUCUCUCUGGGCUACCGAGCACUGCAUCAAAGCGAUACGGCCAAAACCUCAAGUGGAAGUAGUUUACGAAGCCCAGCACAAAAUGAGAGCACAUGAACUACAGUCAUAUCCAAAGAAUUAUGAGUUGGCUGCUCAAAUACCUUUAGAAGUGAGGAAUGAUGAAUGUGAAUUUGUACAUAAGGAAGAUUUAAUUAGUAUCGAUGCUACAGACCUACCACAGAUCCAGUACGAAUCAAUAGAAGAUAAGAUUUACAUCAUGAAAAACAAUGCAGUACCUGAGCCAUGCAAUAAGCAUCCAUGCAAAUUUAUUUUACCUAGGGAGAAGUCGGUAUCAGUGCUGCCGCUGACGGAGAUAGAGAGAGAAUUGGCGCAGUAUGCGCAAGAGCACGACGCUCAGUACAUAGCUAGUGAGAGCGCGCUGCGUUGCUUGCUUUCACUGGACCAGCACUGGUAUAUCACUGUACGAGUGUGUGAGGUUAUUGGUUCGGAUGGUGAUAAAUCGAACGUGACAGUGUUGGGAAGUGAAUUUUCCAUAAAGAAAGAGCCGAUUAUGCGGAGGACGUAUAAGGCUUUCAAACAUCUGUUAGAAGAUACACUUGUGCCAUUAGCAGAAAGGGGGAGGAUCAUGAACAAGUUGAUAAGAAACUCCGAAUGCGAUAGUACUGUAAAUAUGAAUUCAUUGAACGCCGAAGAGAACAAUAUGGAAGCAUCCAGCGAUGAUGAAGAUGAUAAUUUAUGUAUAGAUAUCGGUGAAGACCUUCAAACAGACAGUAAUAUAGAAACGGAAAAUGACGUUGAGAAACAACAGGAAUCUCAAGAAAGCACUAACAAUAAUACAGAAAAGUCGGCCAACAAUAAUUCCACCGCGUCUCUGGGAUUUUAUGAAUGCACAUGUAAAGGAUCAAUGUUCGAGUUGCCAGCGCAACGCUCGUACAAGAAGUGGCAAGUGCGGAGCAACACUUCGGGCGAGACGUACGACCUCAUCGUGCACUGUGCGCACAAAGCCAGGAGUUCCACCAGCGAGGUGGUGCUGGAGCCGAUACCGGAGUACCAGCUGGAGUUGGGAGCCAGCUCGCUGUCUCAGCAGAAAUUAGCUAGCCUGGCACUAGCGUUGCACCUGAGGAGGAACGCCGCCCUAAUGAAUGUGCGCUUAGACGGUGUGUCCGGCGAAAUAGUGACCAUGGAGAAGUUAUAUCAAAACGAGUUCACCAGCAAGUACGGCGACAUGUUGCCCCACAUCGCCAGCACGCUGCACGCGACCCUCAACCAGCUCCAGGGUCUGCUGCCCGGACACUAUGUGCUGCAGCAUGAGGUGAGCCACGGCUCGAACGCGCUGCUGCACGGCGCGCGCGGCGCCGGCGGCUCGCUGCGGCUGGGCGCGGCGCCGGCGCCACUCGCCGACGAGUCCGCCGCUCUCAAAACCCCGCCCACUUUAUCUACGGAACUCUUGCCGAUACACAAAUUUCGCCGCAUAUUGCCCUGCGCGUUCACCCCCUACCAAGAUCAGUUGCCCCGCAAGCCCGUCACCCGCAGCAAGACCCCGCCGCAGGCUCUCAAGAGCGCGGCGGGCAGAGCCGGCAAGCGCGGGAAGCGAAAGCGAAAAUAGACAAGUGGGAUUUAUACCGCCGCUAGUGACGCGCCACCUGUCGAUAGUCGAGUCAACUUAGUGAUGUCUGUUGUCGAUGGAUUCCCCUGGCCGCGGCGAGCGAAAAAUAAGAAGAAAGCCCGAGCAAUUGAAGUAACUGGAAUAGAUUUUUUUUAAUACAUUCUCUUUCAGAACUUUUUUCACUUUUUCAAGAUGGUAAAAAAUUAAGCGUAUCACUGAGUGAACAUUAUUGUAAUUUAAUGUUAAUACGUUCGACUAUUAGACAGUGAUGGCAACAUAUAUGCAUCCUUUUCUAUAAUAGUUAACUCGAAAUUAUUUUGACUGAAAUAGAUUUUUUGUUUAGACGAAAAAUUAAGAAAAUUAUGAUAUGUACUUGUGGUGUAACUUAAAUAGGAUUCGUUUUAAUUUUAGUGUUGUUAUUUAUGUGUAAAUAAAAAUAAAAUUAUAUGAUAAUGCUUUGUUUAUAUUUAAUAAUACCACCACUUUAAUAUAGAGUGAACUAUGCUCAAUGUAGCUUAUAGUUUUUUAGUGUAAUUAUACACACGCUGAUGACAUAA